rnacentral:rRNA from 1 species
UACGUAGGUGGCAAGCGUUGUCCGGAUUUACUGGGCGUAAAGAGCGCGCAGGCGGUCGUUCAAGUCGCGUGUGAAAGCCCCCGGCUCAACUGGGGAGGGUCACGCGAUACUGAUCGACUCGAAGGCAGGAGAGGGAAGUGGAAUUCCCGGUGUAGUGGUGAAAUGCGUAGAUAUCGGGAGGAACACCAGUGGCGAAGGCGGGUCUCUGGACAGUUCCUGACGCUGAGGCACGAAGGUCAGGGGAGCAAACGGG